rnacentral:lncRNA from 1 species
GCUAUAGAAGAUAGAAUGGAAAUUACAACAAAAAAAUUCUAAUUCUAUUAGAAUACUAAAUAAACUCUAAUUAAACCUUAAAAAUGCUAAAUAAGCUUUAAUCAAAUUCAAAAGAAACCUUAAAGAAAUUACAAAAGAAACAUUAAGAAAUCUUAAAGAAAUUGAAAAAAAAUCCACAAUAAAUUUUAAAAGAGUCCUUAAGAAGUCCUAAAAAAUGUUAGAAUAAUCAAAAAUAUAUCUUAAAUAAAUCUCAACUAAGUUCUAAUUUAACCUUAGUUGAAAUUCUAAUGGACUUUAAUUAAAUCCUAGACAAAUCUUAAAUCCUAAACAAAAUCUUAGCCAAAUUCUAAAUCCUAUAUAAAUCUUAGAUAAAAUACUAGAUCCCACAUCAAAUCCUAAAUCCUAAACUAAACCUUAGAUCAAACUUUAGAUCCUAAACCAAACUCUAAAUAAAUCCUAAAUCCUAAAUCAAACCCUAAACCAAAUUCUAAUCCUAUUCAAACUAAUCCUAGUACAGUUUAGAACCUCAAUAACUAUCAAUUGAACCAUUGAUCUUGCUUAAAAAUUUAUACACCUUUCAAUAAUUAAGUUAAAAAAAAAGAACAUUAAAUUUGAAGAUAACUGCACUUAUCAAAUAGAAAAAGAAAUCCUAAAAUCUGCUCGAGUGUUGGCAAACCUUCUACUCCAAUUUAAAUGUUGAAUUCUUAGUGCAAAUAUCUCCUUAUUAAACUAUUUAACUGUCUUUAAAUUUCACAUAUGUGUAGGAAAUCAAGUCUAUUAUCUUCAAAUAUAAACUUUACUCUAAUCCAAUAAAUAAAUUGCUAAAGAUCUUAGAAAUCCUAAUUGCCUUUCAUAGUCCAAUUUCUG